rnacentral:rRNA from 1 species
GACGAUGGGGAUGCGUUCCAUUAGAUAGUAGGCGGGGUAACGGCCCACCUAGUCUUCGAUGGAUAGGGGUUCUGAGAGGAAGGUCCCCCACAUUGGAACUGAGACACGGUCCAAACUCCUACGGGAGGCAGCAGUGAGGAAUAUUGGUCAAUGGGCGAGAGCCUGAACCAGCCAAGUAGCGUGAAGGAUGACUGCCCUAUGGGUUGUAAACUUCUUUUAUAAAGGAAUAAAGUCGGGUAUGCAUACCCGUUUGCAUGUACUUUAUGAAUAAGGAUCGGCUAACUCCGUGCCAGCAGCCGCGGUAAUACGGAGGAUCCGAGCGUUAUCCGGAUUUAUUGGGUUUAAAGGGAGCGUAGAUGGAUGUUUAAGUCAGUUGUGAAAGUUUGCGGCUCAACCGUAAAAUUGCAGUUGAUACUGGAUAUCUUGAGUGCAGUUGAGGCAGGCGGAAUUCGUGGUGUAGCGGUGAAAUGCUUAGAUAUCACGAAGAACUCCGAUUGCGAAGGCAGCCUGCUAAGCUGCAACUGACAUUGAGGCUCGAAAGUGUGGGUAUCAAACAGGAUUAGAUACCCUGGUAGUCCACACGGUAAACGAUGAAUACUCGCUGUUUGCGAUAUACGGCAAGCGGCCAAGCGAAAGCGUUAAGUAUUCCACCUGGGGAG